UUAAGUGACUAAGCGUACACGGUGGAUGCCUAGGCAGUCAGAGGCGAUGAAGGGCGUGUUAAUCUGCGAUAAGCGUCGGUAAGGUGAUAUAAACCGUUACAACCGGCGAUACCCGAAUGGGGAAACCCAGUGCAAUUCGUUGCACUAUCAUACGAUGAAUACAUAGUCGUAUGAGGCGAACCGGGGGAACUGAAACAUCUAAGUACCCCGAGGAAAAGAAAUCAACCGAGAUUCCCCCAGUAGCGGCGAGCGAACGGGGAGGAGCCCAGAACCUGAAUCAGUUCUUGUGUUAGUGGAAGCGUCUGGAAAGUCGCACAGCAAAGGGUGAUAGUCCCGUACACUAAAAUGCAUUAAUUGUGAGUUCGAUGAGUAGGGCGGGACACGUGACAUCCUGUCUGAAUAUGGGGGGACCAUCCUCCAAGGCUAAAUACUCCUGACUGACCGAUAGUGAACCAGUACCGUGAGGGAAAGGCGAAAAGAACCCCGGCGAGGGGAGUGAAAUAGAACCUGAAACCGUGUACGUACAAGCAGUGGGAGCCUACUUUGUUGGGUGACUGCGUACCUUUUGUAUAAUGGGUCAGCGACUUAUAUUUUGUAGCAAGGUUAACCGUAUAGGGGAGCCGUAGGGAAACCGAGUCUUAACUGGGCGAAUAGUUGCAAGGUAUAGACCCGAAACCCGGUGAUCUAGCCAUGGGCAGGUUGAAGGUUGGGUAACACUAACUGGAGGACCGAACCGACUAAUGUUGAAAAAUUAGCGGAUGACUUGUGGCUGGGGGUGAAAGGCCAAUCAAACCGGGAGAUAGCUGGUUCUCCCCGAAAGCUAUUUAGGUAGCGCCUCGUGAACUCAUCUUCGGGGGUAGAGCACUGUUUCGGCUAGGGGGCCAUCCCGGCUUACCAAACCGAUGCAAACUCCGAAUACCGAAGAAUGUUAUCACGGGAGACACACGGCGGGUGCUAACGUCCGUCGUGAAGAGGGAAACAACCCAGACCGCCAGCUAAGGUCCCAAAGUCAUGGUUAAGUGGGAAACGAUGUGGGAAGGCAUAGACAGCCAGGAUGUUGGCUUAGAAGCAGCCAUCAUUUAAAGAAAGCGUAAUAGCUCACUGGUCGAGUCGGCCUGCGCGGAAGAUGUAACGGGGCUAAACCAUGCACCGAAGCUGCGGCAGCGACGCUUAGGCGUUGUUGGGUAGGGGAGCGUUCUGUAAGCCGUUGAAGGUGGCCUGUGAGGGUUGCUGGAGGUAUCAGAAGUGCGAAUGCUGACAUAAGUAACGAUAAAGCGGGUGAAAAACCCGCUCGCCGGAAGACCAAGGGUUCCUGUCCAACGUUAAUCGGGGCAGGGUGAGUCGACCCCUAAGGCGAGGCCGAAAGGCGUAGUCGAUGGGAAACAGGUUAAUAUUCCUGUACUCGGUGUUACUGCGAAGGGGGGACGGAGAAGGCUAGGCUAGCCGGGCGACGGUUGUCCCGGUUUAAGCGUGUAGGGGGAGUGACUUGGUAAAUCCGGUUACUUAUUCAACCCUGAGGCGUGAUGACGAUGCACUACGGUGCAGAAGUAGUUGAUGCCAAGCUUCCAGGAAAAGCCUCUAAGCAUCAGGUAACAUCAAAUCGUACCCCAAACCGACACAGGUGGUCAGGUAGAGAAUACCAAGGCGCUUGAGAGAACUCGGGUGAAGGAACUAGGCAAAAUGGUGCCGUAACUUCGGGAGAAGGCACGCUGGCGCGUAGGUGAAGAGACUUGCUCUCGGAGCUGAAGCCAGUCGCAGAUACCAGCUGGCUGCAACUGUUUAAUAAAAACACAGCACUGUGCAAACACGAAAGUGGACGUAUACGGUGUGACGCCUGCCCGGUGCUGGAAGGUUAAUUGAUGGGGUCAGCCGCAAGGCGAAGCUCUUGAUCGAAGCCCCAGUAAACGGCGGCCGUAACUAUAACGGUCCUAAGGUAGCGAAAUUCCUUGUCGGGUAAGUUCCGACCUGCACGAAUGGCGUAAUGAUGGCCAGGCUGUCUCCACCCGAGACUCAGUGAAAUUGAACUCGCUGUGAAGAUGCAGUGUACCCGCGGCAAGACGGAAAGACCCCGUGAACCUUUACUAUAGCUUGACACUGAACAUUGAGCCUUGAUGUGUAGGAUAGGUGGGAGGCUUUGAAGCGUGGACGCCAGUCUGCGUGGAGCCAACCUUGAAAUACCACCCUUUAAUGUUUGAUGUUCUAACUCGGCCCCGUAAUCCGGGGUGAGGACAGUGUCUGGUGGGUAGUUUGACUGGGGCGGUCUCCUCCCAAAGAGUAACGGAGGAGCACGAAGGUUAGCUAAUCACGGUCGGACAUCGUGAGGUUAGUGCAAAGGCAUAAGCUAGCUUGACUGCGAGAGUGACGGCUCGAGCAGGUACGAAAGUAGGUCUUAGUGAUCCGGUGGUUCUGAAUGGAAGGGCCAUCGCUCAACGGAUAAAAGGUACUCCGGGGAUAACAGGCUGAUACCGCCCAAGAGUUCAUAUCGACGGCGGU
rnacentral:rRNA from 1 species